ACAAUUACCUGGCAAUGUGCCUUUACAGUGAUCCGCAAGGCUGUGGGCCCGGGGCAUGAGACCUUUCCAUUGCAACAUCGGAGUUUAUUGACUUCGCGAUCGUCCCAAAUGUGGACGACUCGGGUGCGCAAUUUAUAAGCGUGGGGAUCAUGCUCAGCCUCUCCUUU